GACGAACCGUGCGAACGUUGUUCGGAAUCACUGGGCUUAAAGGGCGCGUAGGCGGACACACAAGUCCGGGGUGAAAUCUUUCGGCUCAACCGGAAAAGGGCCUUGGAUACUGUGUGUCUGGAGGAAGGUAGGGGCAUGCGGAACUUCCGGUGGAGCGGUGAAAUGCGUUGAUAUCGGAAGGAACGCCGGUGGCGAAAGCGGCGUGCUGGACCUUUGCUGACGCUGAGGCGCGAAAGCCAGGGGAGCGAACGGG
rnacentral:rRNA from 1 species